UACGUAGGGCGCAAGCGUUUGUCCGGAAUUAUUGGGCGUAAAGAGCUCGUAGGUGGCGUGUCGCGUCGUGCCGUGAAAGCCCAUGGCUUAACUGUGGGUCUGCGGUGGAUACGGGCAGGCUGGAGGCUGGUAGGGGCAAGCGGAAUUCCUGGUGUAGCGGUGAAAUGCGCAGAUAUCAGGAGGAACACCGGUGGCGAAGGCGGCUUGCUGGGCCAGUUCUGACGCUGAGGAGCGAAAGCGUGGGGAGCAAACAGG
rnacentral:rRNA from 1 species